AAAUUCUCUAAGCAUAUAUUUUUUCACAACAAAAAACGAAUACAUAGAUGAAAUGGACAUUGAAUAAGACCAUUUACAACAUAGAUCAAAAGCAAUACCUUUUUUAUAUUGUCUCACCUUACUGAAUACUGAUCCUCAUUAGAAAUACAUUGAGUUACAAAGUAGUAGACAAGUAGGUAUGGUAAACCAUUCAAAAAUCUGCACGGCCAUAUACAAUAAAGAUACAUACUGUUAAAGUCAUUUCCUAAAUAUUCAUCCAGUCUUCAAAACCAUGCUCAUAGCGCUUGUAGCCACAAGUAAUUGAAUCAAACUGCAAUUUCAAUUUACAAAAUUCACAUUUCUGAAUGAAACCAAAAAAGUUGUUAGUCUAAGGGGGGAAAUGGAGGAGUUUAAUCUCUGAGAGGAUAUUAGCUUUAAGCAAAUUCGAGAUAACAACAAAACAAAGUCGAGCCAACAAAUGAAACUCAUGGGUUUUAAAGCCAAUUUAGAGUUCAGUUCAUCACGAUCAAAUAAUCUUGAAUAAUCAAGAUCAAGAUUAGAAAAAUAUCAGUAUCGCCACAAAUGAAAUCUCAAGAAAUACACCACUUUCGUAGCAUCAAUUAUAAAGAAAUUCAAAGAUUGAAAAUCAAGAAAGUUGUGCAAUCGAUAAAGAGUCAGAAAGGGCACAAUGAAAGUUUUAUCUCUCUAUACAACCAGUGUUCCAAGCAUUCCAAAAAUAAUCAAUUAUAAAAAAUUCAAAGAUUGGAUAUUGAGAGAAAGAAUUAGAGAUGUGUAUUGAUUAAAGGUCGGAAAAGACACAAAGAAAUCAAACUUAUUUGUUUCUUUAUCUUUAUCUAGAGUUUCAACCAUUGCAAAAACCAAGUGAAGCAACCCAGUGAUGUUUAGGGUUUUGGGACAGUUUGUUAGUUCCAUGAAGACACCACUUGUAAAGAAGUUCAAAGAGUCUCAAUUUCCUUCUGUCUCUCUAGAGUUUGAACCAUUGCAAAAAUCAAGCAAUGUCAUUAGCUUAAACCAAUAACCCCAAAAAAUAAAAAGAACCUUCGAAAAAUGUCAGAGUUAGAGGAAAAUACCAUUACCACCAUAAACGAAAAAAAUUGCUUCUUGAAAAGUUUAGUGUUUUGGAACCGAUAAUGAAUGAGCAGAUUAAGAAAGAAGGCACAAUCCUUAAAUUGAUUACAAUGAAAUUCAAUGGAGAGUGAUGUGAAAAUGAUAAAAGGGUCAGAAUGGGAAGAAAUAAAUGGAAUUUGAUCACUCUCUAUUCAAUAAAGGAGAGAGAGAUUUGCCACUUACAAAGGGUCGGAAAGGAAGAGAAGGAAUCAAAUUCUUUCUCUCUCUCUCUCUCUCUCUCAAAUUCUCUCUUUCUAUUUUCUUUCUUUCAUAGUUUGGCUGGAACCACUGCAAUAGUUAGAAAGCAUGUUUGCUUGCAGAAAACAACGUAGCAGUCAUUAUAGAGUAAAGUGACCAACAACAAAACGUAAAGGUUACGCAACUUAUAAUAUACCUCUAUAAAUUGGGCCUAUUAAAUUCAUAUGGGCCCGUUUACAUUUCACACCUUUUUUAACAACCACAAUAUUAAUUUUUAAUUAUUUUUUUGUCUAUUAUGUAAUCUAAUAUUCUACAUCCUACCAAAAAACAAUAAAAA
rnacentral:lncRNA from 1 species